rnacentral:rRNA from 1 species
AUUGAACGCUGGCGGCAGGCUUAACACAUGCAAGUCGAGCGCCCCGCAAGGGGAGCGGCAGACGGGUGAGUAACGCGUGGGAAUCUACCCAUCACUACGGAACAACUCCGGGAAACUGGAGCUAAUACCGUAUACGUCCUUCGGGAGAAAGAUUUAUCGGUGAUGGAUGAGCCCGCGUUGGAUUAGCUAGUUGGUGGGGUAAUGGCCUACCAAGGCGACGAUCCAUAGCUGGUCUGAGAGGAUGAUCAGCCACACUGGGACUGAGACACGGCCCAGACUCCUACGGGAGGCAGCAGUGGGGAAUAUUGGACAAUGGGCGAAAGCCUGAUCCAGCCAUGCCGCGUGAGUGAUGACGGCCCUAGGGUUGUAAAGCUCUUUCGCCGGUGAAGAUAAUGACGGUAACCGGAGAAGAAGCCCCGGCUAACUUCGUGCCAGCCGCCGCAGUAAAAC